GCCCAAUGACUAGUGGGAAGUAAUACAAAUUUAAGUUCUUUUUAUUAAGUCUCUCUUAGGGAGUUGUAAGCUAAUUAAUACUUUGGAAUUUCACUACACACUGGCCGACCCUUCUAAGGUCUAGGCUCGACAUUAUGUUGAUAGUAUAGUAGCAACCUUGGACCUUGAUGAAUCAUACUUAUCUAAUCCAAUAAAAAAAAAAAUCAAUAAAAAUGGAUUUAGUCAGGAACAUCGAAAAGGGCUACCUAUUGUCAAAGGUCAA
rnacentral:lncRNA from 1 species